GGUUUGGUAUCAGGGGGCCCAAACCAGAUGCGUGUGUUUCCAUCCUUACCCUUAGUAAGACGUAUCUCGUGGAAACGUCUGCGUAUCUCGUGGAAACGCUAUCUCAGCAACUCGCUUGGAAAUUGCCUAUAUCUGAGCGACUCACUUGGAAAUCGCCUACACCUCAGCAACUCGCUUGGAAAUUGCCUACAUCUGAGCGACUCACUUGGAAAUCGCCUACACCUCAGCAACUCGCUUGGAAAUUGCCUACCUCUCCGCGACUCACUUGGAAAUCGCCUACACCUCAGCAACUCGCUUGGAAAUUGCCUACAUCUCCGCGACUCACUUGGAAAUCGCCUACACCUCAGCAACUCGCUUGGAAAUUGCCUACUACCUGCUAUGGCGUAUCUCGUGGAAACGCACCUCAUUUGUUAGGGAAACAAACGCAUCUUCAUCCCAUUUGGCUGACGAAGGAAGCCCGACAAAGCCAAGCCUCUCAACAAGUAUUCAUAUUACUAUGGAAAGUUUACCAAAACACCAAAGGACAAUUUGCAAAAAUCUGAAAGACUGUCAUUGAAAUAUCUAGAGAAGGACAAAGGUAUCAUAAUCCAACUGGCUGACAAGGGGAGAACAAUGGUUAUCAUGGAUACACCUGACUACAUCGACAAGUGCAAUGAACACAUCAACAACAGGCCUUACAAACUUCUCAAGAAAGAUGCUACAGAAGUCAUCACUGCCCAGGCAAAUGGCUCCGAGGUUCAGAUGCUGUAUCCAGAUUCCGCACGGUUGCUGAAAUUGCAUUUGCUGAAUCCCCAUUGCUCAAUAAAAUACGACAACCCCUGCAUGAAACAGAUUUCAACACAGAACAAGCCCCAAACGAUGCAAUGGAAGCCACAGUAAUUGAGCGCAUGCAAGCAUUCUAUGAUGCCAAACAAGGCAUUUAAGUGACCUCCUUAGAUCAUGUACGUCAUUGUGGGAAGGAUGACCAGGCCCUACUACCAGGCCCUACUACUUGCCAUCUCUGAUGGGUUUCUAGAUAACUGAAAAGAUACACUGCCCAUGCUCCGUCAAUUUUGGAACAUUUGUGGGAGGCUUUCAACAUGGAAUGGCAUCGCCCUACUAGAUAAACGCAUUAUUAUUCCAUCAAGUCUCAGAAACGAAGUGUUAACAUCAUUGUAUUCUGCCCACCAAGGGUGCACUGGAAUGAAAGCUCGAUCUUCAGAAUGCAUUUACUGGCCUGGACUCAAUUCUGCCAUCCAUAUUUUUUGAGACAACUGUCGUACGUGUAUCCAACACACGCCUAGUCAAUCCAAAGAACCACUCUCACUCUCACCACCUCUGGAAUGACCAUUCCAAAAGAUCUGUGGAGACUACUUUACCAUCAAUGGGAAUCACUACCUCUCCAUAGUCGACCGAUUUAGUGGCUGGAUUUGUGUUUACCAUUUUGGUUUGAAUGAGGCUACAACAAAGAAGCUCAUAUCAGUAUGUUGCAAUUUAUUCACCACUUAUGGUGCUCCUGAUGAAUUCAGCACUGACGGAGGGCCACAAUUGGCCUCCAACGCCUUCAAAGCUUUUUUUACUGAAUUGGGGUGUACACCAUCGACUGUCUUCUGCUGAAUACCCCAGUCUAAUGGACGAGCAGAACUUGGUAUAAACGUGUUCUCUAUGAUAAUAUCUCUAACAACGGCUCUAUAGAUAAUAAUAGAGUAUCUCGGGCCAUUCUACAAUAUCGCAACAUACCAUUACCUGACAUUAACUUGAGUCCAGUCCAAAUUCUAUUCAACAGACAACUUCAGGAUCACCUACCAGUGCACCCCCAUCACUACUGCCUGCACCAAGAUUGGAUCCUUUCAGCUAAGCAACAAGAGGCUGCACUACAUAACCGCAACAUUGUCUUAGCUAAAGACUAUAACAAACAUGUACACGCACUGCCUCCCCUUCCAGUUGGCACUCCUGUCGUCAUUCAAAAUGAUGGAAAGAAGCAUCCUCGCAUAUGGACGAAAACUGGUCGCAUAGUUAAGAACCUUCCCAACCGCCAGUAUCAGAUUAGGAUGGAUGUCUCGGGACGUCUCACCUUACAAAAUCGAUGCUUCAUUCGUAAAGUAGUGAAGCCAACACCCCUCACAACAGACAGACCUCACCAUCCAAGACAGCAGUACCCCUCCUGAAUUAGCAACUGAAGUACCACCAAAACUCACGACCGGUUGAUUACUGCAAUGUCUUGCUUCACAUAAUACACCAGGUCGUUGUGAACAACAGCCCCUACCUCCUAAACGUUUGGUACAUUUAACCCACCACAAUGGAACUUAACUCACAUCGUACAGCCGAUAAUAUCACUACAUUAAUAACUAUUUUACUAAAGUUUAAAGUUUUGUUUAAUGACUUUUAAAGACAGGAGAGAUGAUUAGACUUGGAACUCCAUACAUUCUAACAAUUAUCUUGAUCAACAGACCAUUGAUAUCCAUUAUACCCCAACAGGGGAGAUGUUAAGACCUAAUUGACAUUUACAUUCUUAUUGUCCUUUUAAAUUAAAUAUAUUGCUGGUCUUAGUACCUAUAUAAAUAAGUGUCUUCUAUUACUUAUUGAACUUAUCUGAAUAUACU